UACGUAGGGUGCGAGCGUUAAUCGGAAUUACUGGGCGUAAAGCGUGCGCAGGCGGUUCGUUGUGUCGGUGGUGAAAGCCCCGGGCUUAACCUGGGAAUGGCCAUGGAAACUGGCGAACUGGAGUGUGGCAGAGGGGGGUGGAAUUCCGCGUGUAGCAGUGAAAUGCGUAGAGAUCGGGAGGAACACCAGUGGCGAAGGCGACUACCUGGACCAGCACUGACACUGAGGCACGAAAGCGUGGGGAGCAAACAGG
rnacentral:rRNA from 1 species